GGGGGAAGGAGGGGGUGAAGGGCGUCCUCCCCUCAGCUCCCUUUGGAUUUCGUGGGGCUUCCAACCUCUUUUAGCGGGAUAAAACCAGCAUUUUCAAAGGCUUUCUCAUUGAUGAAGGGUUUUGGGGCCUUGUUUCACUUUCCAACCUGCUGCAGGGAGGAAAAAACCCAAACCCACACCUUUCCCAAACCCUUCUCAAGAGGAACUGGAACCAGUCCCUCUCCUGACAGGAGGCAAAGCAGGACAAAUUGGUUGCACAAAACCCCAGCUAAAUGGUAAUCACAGACACUGGUUUCAGUCCCAGAAAUGGGAGCUGACUUGGUCUGCAGGCAAACUGACCCUUUCCAAACAAACAAGCAGGAGCUGAAAGCAGCAGCCCCUGACCAUGUUCAGUGCCACUGAAUGUGAAACAAGGAUGACUUCACAUCUCCUCCCUGGAAACAGUUCUCAUCUCUUUACUGUCUCUCCUCUCUAUCAGUCUGAGCAUGGAUACGUCUGUUUGAGGAGCUAGUCCUCUCUUUUGCAGAGCCACAGGUCUCCAGUGAGCAUCACAACAGCCACAGAGCUACCAGAGCUCAGUGACACCCUGCCAUGCUAACAUCUCCUGCUGCAGCCCCUUCAGUCACCUGGUCCAGAAGCAUCUCUGAUCCUGUAAUCCUUGGUUGUUUAGAACACUCUGAGCACAUGUAUCCUAAAGUGUCAGCUUUUGCUGGCCUGAAACGUGUUCCCCCCUUCAAUUUUUGAUGUAUCAAUUUUUAUGUAUUUAAAUCUCAUAUACAUUGGGGAGGUGAUGGUG